rnacentral:lncRNA from 1 species
CACUCCUGUCAUUCUGUCUGGGAUUUGAUCAACUUAGUUGCCCUCUGUGAAAUCGCUGGCACAUGCAACUUUGAAGACUUGCCAAGAAAGGGGGUGAUAAACUAAGAGCCCUUUUCAAGUAUCUAUGCUGGUUGUUAAGCGGUUGCCAACACCGAUGUCUCUUGAAUUAGGAUUUUGCCCCGCUUUAUGAAUAAAGCCAACAUCACGUCCAUACAAUGAGUUCUAGUGUCGAAAUAUCAUAGUCUACCUGGAAAACAUCACACAAUCACGCCCAAAAAAAGCAUAAAAGAAAUAAGAAAAAAGACCAAGUGGCCACACACUUAUGAAGCCUGCUGCAAUGGGAGCCGCCAAGCGGUCGCAUCCAUCAUAAGCCCUAGAUGCUCGCUGCCACGCUGCCUAGACACCAGAUGCCAGUGCUGUAAGAAGACAAGAAAUUUAAAAAAAGAGUGAGGGGCCCUUCUAAGAAAGACGCAUCUUAUUAUGUGUCUACAUAGCGUCCAAGCAAAUGCCGCAAACACUAGCCAGAAGAUGUGUCUCCUCCUACUGGUCUGGACAACUCUAGCCUGAAGGAACCGAGAUAGAUCUGGGCCCUCCCAAUCAGGCCCAAGCUAGGACCCCACAGAUGAAACUCCAUAGCGUCCAAGCCAGGGCCGAUGUCCACCUAUUUUUUUCUCUUUGUUCUAACCUUUCCGUAACGUUUUGAUGAACAGAUAUUCACUGAAAUUAAGGGAGGAGUUCUUAACCAUUUGUUAAAACAUCUAGCCACGUUUGUGACUUGCUCCUGUUGAGAGGAAUUAGUAAGUACAUACACAUUGAUAUCUAUUAUGCAACAGUUAAUAAAGUUUAUACUGCUCUAAAGUUUAAUGUAGAUCGUUGUAACCUUUUGAUGAACAUAUACACAUUAAUAAAAAGGUUUAAAAGGAGUAAAAGCAGGUGCGUUGCGCAAUAACUGAAUUUUUUCGCAGAUCGGUUGGUACAAUAUCUGAAUUUUCGUAGGCAGGUUGCAGCAGAAAGAUGAGCACUGAUCCAAGGGUUUUAUGUCUUGAAAGAAAGACAUAUCAAGAGGAAUAUGCUUGCAAGGAGGAGAAGGAAAUACAACAACAACAAAAGGCAGAGUUUAUGUCUUACUCGCAACCAGAUUCCAGGAAACCAAGAUCACACAUAAUGAAGUCUUUUGUACCUUUAUUAUUCAGAUCCUCGUACAGUAAAAACACCUGCUCAAUGGGCGUCUACUGAGCGGAACUUCCUACCGAUGAAACUCCAGUCCCGAUCCCGAGCCGCAUCCCUGCGGUGGUAGCAUCCUCUGCACGUUCCGCUUCUUUCGGAUGGCACGAUAGACGGAGGCCAUCUGCACGCAGGAAGUCUCCAGUUCACGCCCAAGGCAUGGGGCGCUUGCACCGCCAAGUCCUCCUCACCAACUUCCUCGACGGCGGCGGCUGUAGGAGCAUUGUAGGCAGCACCCAACCACUCCUUGCAUCAUCGAGAUCGCCUCCCCUCCCCCUGUACAACAGAGCCAAGAUGGGAACUUGUUUCAAAAGAACAGACGCAAGAGCAACGUGGCAAAGACACUCAACAGAGCCAAGAUGAGCAGACCAAGACGGUGAAACAACGUACCUGCAGAGUCUGCGCCGGCGCUGCAUGAGCGAGGUGCCAGCGUUGCAUGAGAGAGAUGGCACAUGACACGAGUGCUGCCACUAACCGGCGAUGUGCGAAGGCCAUCGAGAUGGGAGCCAGUGAAGCUGGGAGAAGACAACACUGUAUCGCAUUUCUCAUGUAUGACUACAUCGCCACCACACAACUUGAAAUUUACCAUAUAUUUCGGUGCCGGCAGGUUCUAGACCAUUUUUUCAGCUUUCUUCUAAUAUCUCAUCUAAAUUAUGUGGGUGAAUCCUUUCAACUGUGUAGUACUACUCAUCUCAUCAUGAGUGCAG